rnacentral:rRNA from 1 species
AGAGUUUGAUCCUGGCUCAGAACGAACGCUGGCGGCAUGCCUUAUACAUGCAAGUCGAACGAGAAAGUCACUUCGGUGGCGAGUAGAGUGGCGCACGGGUGAGUAACGCGUAGAUGAUCUACCCUUCAGUCUGGGACAACUCUUGGAAACGGGAGCUAAUACCGGAUAAAACCUUCGGGUUGAAAGAUUUAUCGCUGGGGGAUGAGUCUGCGUACCAUUAGCUUGUUGGUGGGGUAACGGCCUACCAAGGCGACGAUGGUUAGCGGGUCUGAGAGGAUGAUCCGCCACACUGGAACUGAGACACGGUCCAGACUCCUACGGGAGGCAGCAGUAGGGAAUAUUGCGCAAUGGGGGCAACCCUGACGCAGCAAUGCCGCGUGAGUGAAGAAGGCCUUCGGGUCGUAAAGCUCUUUUAUGGGGGAAGAUGAUGACGGUACCCCAUGAAUAAGCACCGGCUAACUACGUGCCAGCAGCCGCGGU